UUACUAAAAUGUAUAAUGAGGGGAGGAGAUUUAAAGCUGUAUGUAAACAACCAAGGUGUCCUUUUCAUGAAUAUUGAACUUUGAUCAUUGAUAGGAAAUCUUAUCAAUUAAGGAUAUAUGAGCAUAGUCACACUUGUAUGAGGAUUUAUGCAACUUCAAUGUGGGUAGUAGAAAAAUCGGUUGACUUCAUUACAUCACAUAAAGGCUCAUCCAUUAAGCCUUUAGAUGAUCAGUCUGGUAGGGUACAUUAUCUAGAGUUGCCAAAACAUAAGUUUUAUAUAGCUCAUCUGUUAAGCCUUUAGAAAAAUUGUUUGACUUUAUUAGAUCACAUAAAGGCUCAUCCAUUAAGCCUUUAUUAGAUGAUAAGUUGGGUAGGGUACAUUAUCUAAAGUUGUCAAAACAGAAGCUUUAUAAGGCUAGGAAGGAACUGGGUUAAGGAGAAGACAGAUAAAGAACAUGCUGAUUGAUUUAAUUGGCAUUGCAAGUACAAUCACAGUGGAUGUUACUAAUCUUGGUUCUUUCAUAGAUGUUUGUGUUAUUAGAAUAGAUGGGGUGGCUAAAACACCUAAUUUUAAAAGAUAUUUCAUAGGUUUUGAAGCACAGAAAAUGGGGUUCUUAGAAGGGUGCAGGCCUUUUAUUGGUAUUGAUGGAAGCCACUUUAAGGGCCAUAUGGGGGAAUGUUUUUUACUGCAAUAAGAUGGAUACAAACAGCGGUAAUUUUUCACUUGCUAUUUCCAUUUGUGAGGUGGAAAACAAUGACUCAUGGGGUCCCAUUCCUUAGUCCAUUGCAUUAUUUGAUCAUCUCAACAUGGCAAACUGAUUUUUAUGUUUUUUUUACCAUUUUUACUUGCAGAGGGGCAAUGGUUCAUCUGAUACAGAUUUUAGACGUGAAGCCCCCUGAAUUGAAGCUGGUUCAUUUGGUGGCAUGUCAAAUUUCAUGCAGCAGCAAAUUUUAGAGGUUCUCAGCAUUGCAUUUAAGAAUCUUCUAGUCAAAUAUCAAGCCAAGUCUUCAGCUUAACAUAGCAACCAAACCUAAGAGACUACACAAAGAUAUUGUCUCAGAGGGAGAAUCGGAGAAUGAAGAAAUAACGGGGGUUGUUAAACAACCUGAGAAGUGCUAUCCAAAAGAACGAGGAAAGCUUGUGAAAUUUCCUUAUAGCAGUUAUAUGUGAGCUCUUUAUGGAAGGGACCAAUCGAGUAACGAGUCAUCUGUUGACAGCCGCAAAGGGUCUUUAGCCAUAGUUCCUGCUAUCCCCGUUGAAGACAUCGAGGUGAACCUUCACUCUGACAUGGAUUAGCCUAUGCUUCAGUCCCAGUCCUCUCAUCCACUGGAUCUGUCAGCGCCCAAGGGUAAGAAGAGUAAAAACAAAGGACGACGAUCCUAGCUUCUUUUUCUUUUUCUUUAUUGUAGAGUCUGCAUGCUCUCUUUGGACGUUUGUGCCUCAUUUUGUGUUUUUGUUUCGGAGCCUGCGUGCUCCUGUUUAGACCUCUGUGCCUUUUUUUUAU